CCAACCACAAUCAUCAUCCUUCUCCUCAUCUCACAAAGAGAGGCAGCUACACUGUGUGCUUUCUACUGAUACUGAGGCAGGACAUUAGGCUGACUCUUCUCUCAGAUCGUCCGGUUUGGAACUCACUGAAAGCUUUAUGAGGAUAAUUUCAGCAUCUGAAUCUGGGGGGCAGCACUGAGGUCAACACUCACUUGUGAAGCUGACUGAUGAGAGAUGAGAUCCUCUCUUACUGUAGUGAUGCUGUGCAGGUGGAUCAUUGUGGGGUUCAUCUUCGUGCAGCAGCUCAGUGCAGUAAGUAUUUCCUUUUUUAUUUAUUAAUACGCCAACCAAGUUAAAACGUGU